rnacentral:rRNA from 1 species
CCCUUAGAUGUUCUGGGCCGCACGCGCGCUACACUGAUGCAUUCAACAAGUUCUACCUUGGCCGAGAGGCCUGGGAAAUCUUUCAAAUAUGUAUCGUGAUAGGGAUAGAUUAUUGCAAUUAUUAAUCUUGAACGAGGAAUUCCUAGUAAAUGCAGAUCAUCAUUCUGCGUUGAUUACGUCCCUGCCCUUUGUACACACCGUCCGUCGCACCUACCGAUUGAAUGAUCCGGUGAAGCCUCGGGAUUGUGCCCAGAGAACUUUAUUGUGAUUUGGGUGUGAGAACUUGUCUAAACCUUAUCAUUUAGAGGAAGGUGAAGUCGUAACA